UGUUCGAACAGUGGAUCCCUUCACCGAGCUCCACAUUAAACUCAGUUAUUUCUCGACUGUCGAGGUUAACGCGAGAUUCCUCCGACUGUCAACAAAGAAAGCCCCGUGUAGCAUUCAAGCUAGCUGCUCCAUCCUCCAGUAUACAAGCAAAGACUCGUAGAAAGACCGGGACUGUAACGCGCGGCGGUGCUUCGGCGUGGAGACAGAGAGAAGAAGCCUCCACGCUUUCCUCAACGUGACUUUCGCCGAUGUCCACGUUUUCAUGUCGGCUCGUCGUUGUCUGCGGGUCUGUGUCUGCACCGAGAUGAAUGGCAUCAUGUCGGGAUGACAGGAAGAUGGCAAACGGGGUUGGAAAACACAAGCUGCACGUCAUCGGACCCACGGAGCCAUGGUCAGUGAGGGAGAAGCUGUGUUUGGCCACAUCUGUCAUGAAGAGCGGACACCAGAACUGGGUAUCGGUCAGUCGAGCCAUCAAACCAUUUGCAGAACCUGGGCGGCCACCUGACUGGUUCUCUCAGAAGCACUGCGCCUCAAAGUACUCUGAGCUCCUGGAAGCAACAGACGCCCCAAAGAGGAAGCGUGGUGAGAAAGGUGAAGUGGUGGAGACGGUGGAAGAUGUGAUCGUGCGCAGGCUGACGACCGACAGGAUCGAUGAACUCAAAAAGCGAAUCAAAGAAACUCAGGACAAGCACAGGAAGCUGAAGCGAGAGGCUGAGCUGAUUAAAGCAGGACAUCUAGAUUCCAAACUAGAAGACCUAUGGGAGGGAAUACGGCAGAAGAAGAAAGCGGAGGAGGAAGAAGCCGAGUGGAAAAGAAAAAACACAGAUGCUGCUUUUCAGGCCAGAAAGGUGGCAAAGGGCACAACCAAGCGAGUGCCCGACGGGUAUGUGCCCGACGUGUAUUCGCCCUCAGGCUGCGGCUCCCCGAGCCAGGAGUUCUCUCCAGGUGCCCCCCUUGAGAGCCUGACACUGGAUCUUGGAUCUAUUAAGAAUGCUUCUGGAUCGUCCAGGUUCAUGACAUUCUCAGAGUCUUCUGGACUUGCUAUUGAAGACAUCAACCAGGCGUCACUUCUGGACGACCUCGCCCAAAAGAAGCUCCUGUGCCAGAAGGCCACACCACCACCGUCUCCACUCUUGUCAGAGUUACUGAAGAAAGGCAACAUCUUGGCCUCUAAUUCCAGACUGGUCGGUGAUGGUGACGUGUCCUCUGGUAACAUGAUCGCAGCACAUGACUUGCAGCUGGCUCUGCCGAGUCAACCUCUCUCUCAGGCAACAGGUGCCCCCAUGUUGUCCCGUCUCUUGGAGGCGGGUCCCACGCAGUUAUCUGCUCCAUUAAGUUUCAUGGUCGGUACCAACUCAGUCUCCAGCCCCUCUCUCUCGGCUGCCUCUCUUCUUCCUGUUGACUCCAGUGCCUCAGCGAGUACAGAGGAUAAAGUGUCAGGUCUCUGUGAGGAAGACGAGACCGUCUCCUACAUGGGAGAUGAGCUGGACCUCAAGACUGUGGGGGACAUUAUUGCAAUCAUUGAAGACAAGGCCGAUGAGGCUGCUGAUGCUUUGGAUGCCGCUGCAGUGGAGGCUGCCCUGUCCCUGUGUGAGGAGAAUGGCCAUGCAUUGGUGUCUGGUGCCUGGGAAGCUGGGCCUUUCCAACCCCAUGACUCUCAUCACAUAGUGCCCACAGGGGUUCCACAGGCAUCAUCUCUUCUCUGUAGCCUGGGGGGGGAGACAGACGUGUCAGAAGUCCAAGAUGAGACCUCAGCUUCACUCUCUUCUCUGUGCAACAGUCAAAAUCACUGUCUCGCAGUGUUCCCCAUGGGACUAAGGAGGGUUCCAAUCAACUGCUCGUCCUCAUUCAACUCCAGAAGUUUGGAGCACUGCCCCACCGGAGCAGCUCCACGGCCUGAGGCCAUGAGAGAAACUGGAAAGGUGAUGCACCCGAAAAGCCAAAUUUCCUCGGUUGUUGCCAUAAAACGUGAGAGUGAGAAGUGGACACCGCUAAGACCUACUCUAGCACAUGGAGAGUUGGUAUUAGAAGAUAGACCACAGACAGAAAGGCAUCCCAAGGUGAUGAAGGCAGAGAAUGGAAUCAGUGUCGGGCGAGUAGAGAAUGCCUCAAGCUCCAGAGUGGACGAUGAGAUCCAGGGGCCAGAAGCGUGCGGGGAGGAGGAGGGCGACGGGGUCGAGGGAUUCUUGUCAGAGCCGGACGGCGACAUGGAUCUGGAGCCCGCGGCCAGUGAGAGUGAGGACGGAUACAGCCUCCACACGGCGUCCUCAUCUCUGCAGCUCCACACGACCGCAGACUCCAUCCCCAGCAGCCCGGCCUCAUCGCAGUUCUCUGUGUGCAGCGAGGACUUAGAAGCUCUGCAGGCUCACAAAAUCUGGAAGAAAGCCAUUAUGCUGGUGUGGCGUGCAGCAGCCAAUCACAGGUACGCUAAUGUCUUCCUGCAGCCAGUAACCGAUGAUAUUGCACCUGGGUAUCACAGUAUCGUGCAAAGGCCCAUGGACCUGGCCACCAUCAAAAAGAACAUAGAGAAUGGUUUGAUCCGGACGACCGCCGAGUUCCAGAGGGACAUCAUGCUGAUGUUUCAGAACGCUGUCAUGUACAACAGCAUGGAUCACGACGUGUACCACAUGGCGCUGGAGAUGCAGCGGGACGUCCUGGAGCAGAUUCAGCAGUUUCUAGCCACCCAGCUCAUCAUGGAGACGUCCGAGGCCGGCAUCAGCGCCAAGAGUCUGAGGGGCCGUGAGAGCACACGCAAACAGGACUCGACUGACAAGGUGCUUCACUAGAAUUUUGACAAAAGCAGAGAGUACAGAAGAAGAGACAAGGGUGAGACAACAGGCUGACUUAAAGGUAGAGGGGAGUGAAGCAUAACUAGAUCUGCUGGCCAUUUUCCAAAGUGUGACAUGGCGUCCUGUCAGGUAGCCAUGGGUUUUGCUAUGAAGAGUCAACAUCUUUAAAGAUUUGAAACCUUUGGUGGAUCAUUUUUCACAGUGAAAACCUGUUUGUCAUAUGACAACUUUAUUUAGGUUAAGUGUUUUCUAUCAGUUAAUGAAUGCAAAUCUUAUUUUGGCAAGUUGACUGUGCUGUCGAUCCCAGGCGUUGAUUGAUCUCGGAAGGUUUGACUGUUCAAAGAAACUGAAAAACAGUUGAUUAGCUACAGUUUGUAUCUCAAACAAGUCUCAGCCAAAGGUUGACUGUAAAGUAAGAAAUGUGUUUUUAAAACAUUGGUUAUACUUUGGAAAAUGGUGAGUGUUAAUGUAAUAAUGCAAUGAUGUAAAGGAACAUUACUGACAACUAUUUACCAAAGCAACCUCUUGUUUUCAUCUCAUUUCGCAACAGUAUGAAAAUGAACUGGCACUCGACAGUUUGCUCGGGCUGCUGGUGUUUGAGCAACACCUUGUCUGGCCCUCUAAAUAUUUUGAAUAUGAAAUAUGAUAUGACGCAUUUUCAUUGUGUGCUGUUGUGAACUAACACUAGUAGUUGGCUGAAAGGUAGAAGAUGAUUGUAUAACUCUCCUGCUUAUGCUUUGAAAAUUUGUUGAAAAGAACAUAUGUCUGUUAUAGAGAUAGACGUAAUGUGUGGAUAAGUCGUGCAAAUUGCAGUGCAGUGAGGAAUGAAAAUGUUAAUGCUUAAAAUGGCCAUAUGGUAAUAGGGUCAUUUAUGAAAAGGACAUCUGUUCUAAUAGUAGCUCUCUUAAAGCUUAGUUCAACAUUUCCCUCGCACUGAAUCUACUGCGUUCCAUCUGUCUUUCUUGCUCUUGAGACUUUCCCUGAGUCACAGCUCUGAUGUGCAUCGUUCUCCUCUUGCAGGACACUGUCUCCAUGUCUUCUCCUGCCUUCCUCCUUUCUCUUUUUGAUGGAGGCACCAGGGGGCGCCGGUGUGCCAUAGAAGCUGACCUCAAGAUGAAGAAAUGAACACAUAGUAUGAACAUUUUGCACGACGGCGUCCCUGCGUCGUACUGACAGGUGUGAUACCAUAAGACUGAACUUUAUCCUCUUGACAGUUGCACAGAUUCUCACUCUGCAUAACGUGCAGUGUAACCUUUAUUUGCACUCUUGAUUAUAUGGGUAGACUGAAAUGUGGAGAAGAUCCUUUACUAUGAGACAGCCAUACAGACAUGGAUUACAUACUGUGUAAUCCCAGAUUACAAUGGGACGUUCAGAUAGACUAGGUCAAACCCUCCGUAGACGUAGCUACAGAUCCCUCAGACUUAGCCUGCUCUGAAUUUCAUCAGGUUACAUAAGCGAAGAAGGAAAGUUCCUCCUCGUCACCAAGUGGGCUGAAAAUAAAUCUGCAGGAGGAGGCCUGGUUCGACUCCAGAUCAGUGUUCUUGAUUUCGAUCUCAUGUAAAGCCAGAGGCCAAAGACUCUCAUUAAUCUAAUUUCUGAUCAGUCUGAGCCCAGGAACUGAACGGUUUCAAAUUUAAACACUUUCAUUGCUGUUACAAACUAUUUUCCUUUUUAAUUUUUCAAACUUAAUGUUUGUGAUGAGUUGAUUUUAUUUGUGGUACACUUCCUGCGAAAGUACCUCCAUGCAUUCUCUCGUUGUUUACAGUGUUUUUGAAGACAAAAAAAAAAAGAAUCUGUUUUGUGAACUUUAAAAUGUUGAAACAAUAAAAACUGUAUUAAGUGCCCCGAAGAAUUGGACAAAAUGUUUCCACAGUGCCAACUCAAAACAAUCCACACCACUUCAGUAACUUGCAAUUUAACGUUGAUGUUUCAGAGAUGUUUUUUUGUUCAAAUAUUCCUUUGGGGGAAUCUUAGUUUUUAUAUCCAUUUUUUUUAAAUGUGUGUCUGAUUUGCCUAAUUUGUGGGGGAGCAGAUUUUCCUCUGGAUCGGGUUCGGGAAUUUGUAUCUGUAUUGCACAAAAUUGUUCAGUUACAUGAGCGUUGCAAGAAAAAAUAAGUUACAUCUGUUGUUUCCUAUACCUUUUGUUUUUUGAACUGUUGUUACUAAGCACUGUGGUUGUACAAAGAGGAGACAGCAUCUUCCACAAAGCUGCCACUCUGGUAUAAUAGUUUUUCCAUGUUCAGUGUUAUGUAAAUUGGCCUCAUCAAUAAAACUCCAUUCAUAGUUUUUAUUGAAUCAGAGCCAAUUCAUUAAUAGGACGCUACUUAAUGAUGCCUUGUUGUUGUUGUUAUUGUUGUUGUUGUCUACCACUUUGUCCUUACUCAUUUCUGUCAAGUCAAAUACAUUGUGUUUCAUGUAUUCAUCUCCACUGAUGUUGCAAAGUGAAAUGAUAAAUGUUC